CAGUAGCCGCGGUAAUACAGAGGGUGCGAGCGUUAAUCGGAUUUACUGGGCGUAAAGCGUGCGUAGGCGGCUUUUUAAGUCGGAUGUGAAAUCCCUGAGCUUAACUUAGGAAUUGCAUUCGAUACUGGGAAGCUAGAGUAUGGGAGAGGAUGGUAGAAUUCCAGGUGUAGCGGUGAAAUGCGUAGAGAUCUGGAGGAAUACCGAUGGCGAAGGCAGCCAUCUGGCCUAAUACUGACGCUGAGGUACGAAAGCAUGGGAAGCAAACAGGAUUAGAUACCCCGGUAGUCCCUGUCUCUUAUAA
rnacentral:rRNA from 1 species